ACCACACUCGAAACCAAGAGAACAUAAACAUUCAGACCCUGUCAGCCCCUGCUUCAUCAACACCCACAAACCAUAACAACAAAACAGAGUAUCACAACAACAAAUCAACACUAUGAAGGUAUGAAUUUUGAAUCAAAGAAACAGUUACUUAAUUUCACUUCUAUUGAUGAUUUAUGCUUAUAUUUGAAUUGGCUUUUUCUUCCCCUGAAUUGCAGCAAAAGGUGGUGAUUAAUGUUUCCCUGAAUGGCGAAAAGUCCCGCUCUAAAGCCUUGAAGAUUGCAGUCAGCGUUUCAGGAGUCGAAUCAGCUGCUUUAGGAGGGAAAGACAAGAGCCAGAUAGAGGUGGUAGGGGAAAUCGACGCUGUAUAUCUAACAACGCAGCUAAGAAAGAACGUUGGCCAUGCAGAGCUUGUAAGUGUAAGCGCUGUGGGAGAAAAGAAAGAGGAGAAGAAAGAAGAGAAAAAAGAGGACGUGAAAGUGCAGCAAAUGCCAUUGGUCUGGCCUUAUGUGGGUAGCGUGCCUCAUCAUCAAUAUAUCUAUGAGGUUACGCACCCAGGAGCGCAGUACCAAGACCCCUACUCUUGUUCCAUCAUGUAAUUGCGAAACAGACACAGAAUUCCCAGUUUCCAGUUUCAAGUCUUAAGGAGACGGUUCAGAAUUCAGAAAUGGGUACUUGGAACCUUGGCUGAUGAGUGAUGCUCGUGUUAAAAUCUUUUUGUUGUAGAAAUCCUGAAAUUAUUGGUUCAUGUUUGCCCAGUUGCAAUCUAAAUUAUAACAUCUGUAUGAAUUAUUGGAUUAUAUAUAUAUUUUUUAUCUGUUCUUCUUCCUAAAUUUCUAAAGGGGUGCUGUAGAAUUUUCUCACAAUUAUGAGAUUGUUAAUCUUGUUUGUAUUUUAGAAAUUAUAUGUUUGUUUUGAUAGUUAAGGAAUC
rnacentral:misc_RNA from 1 species